GAUGCAACGCGAAAAACCUUACCCACCUUUGACAUGUACGGAAUCCUUUAGAGAUAGAGGAGUGCUCGAAAGAGAGCCGUAACACAGGUGCUGCAUGGCUGUCGUCAGCUCGUGUCGUGAGAUGUUGGGUUAAGUCCCGCAACGAGCGCAACCCUUGUCAUUAGUUGCUACAUUCAGUUGGGCACUCUAAUGAGACUGCCGGUGACAAACCGGAGGAAGGUGGGGAUGACGUCAAGUCCUCAUGGCCCUUAUAGGUGGGGCUACACACGUCAUACAAUGGAUGGUACAAAGGGUCGCCAACCCGCGAGGGGGAGCCAAUCCCAUAAAGCCAUUCGUAGUCCGGAUCGCAGUCUGCAACUCGACUGC
rnacentral:rRNA from 1 species